AACGCACAUUGCACCUUUUGGUAUUCCGAAAGGUAUGCUUGUUCGAGCGUCGUUUUCAUAACCCAUAUCGAAUGAUUGAAAGAAAUUUUCAAUCGCUUGGUGUAUUGAGAUAUUUCUUCUUUCUAGUAAGAGGAAAUUCUUCAAAAUAAUUGAAUAGCGAUUUGGAAUCAAAUUUUACAUUGAACGCAUUAAAAAAAAAUUAAAAAAACAUUUUUUUACGUUCGAGCAAAAAGGUUUUAUUCCAGAGCAGCCAGAUUAAACAAAAGAUGAAAAGAAAAUGUUUUUUUCUCUCGGAGUGUAAGAAAUUAUUUUAUUAUUUAUAAUAUAUAUAUUUUUUUUGCGAGAAGAAAGAAAAAACCAUUUCCUUUUCUUCCUUCUAUACACAAUCGACCUCGAAUCAAGUAGGAUUACCCGCUGAACUUAA
rnacentral:misc_RNA from 1 species